rnacentral:rRNA from 1 species
UGAGGAAUAUUGGUCAAUGGACGAGAGUCUGAACCAGCCAAGUAGCGUGAAGGAUGACUGCCCUAUGGGUUGUAAACUUCUUUUAUAAGGGAAUAAAGUGAGGGACGUGUCCCUUUUUGUAUGUACCUUAUGAAUAAGGAUCGGCUAACUCCGUGCCAGCAGCCGCGGUAAUACGGAGGAUCCAAGCGUUAUCCGGAUUUAUUGGGUUUAAAGGGAGCGUAGGUUGACAUAUAAGUCAGCUGUGAAAGUUUACGGCUCAACCGUGAAAUUGCAGUUGAUACUGUAUGUCUUGAGUGUACAAGAGGUGGGCGGAAUUCGUGGUGUAGCGGUGAAAUGCUUAGAUAUCACGAAGAACUCCAAUUGCGGAGGCAGCUCACUGGGGUACAACUGACACUGAGGCUCGAAAGUGUGGGUAUCAAACAG